rnacentral:rRNA from 1 species
AUUGAAGUUUACUCAACAUGUGUGGAUUAUGACACCAUGGACUUCCAAGCACUCUUAGAAGGACCCCAUGAUGAACAUGAUCUGGACAAAUUGUUGAAAGGUGCAUUCAGUCCUACUUAUAUAAAGGAGAUUGAAUGUAAAUUUUAUUCACCAACUAGUGAUCAUGGUAUGACAAUACAAACACUUGCGCUUGCUCCACCGGAGGCAUUGCCUGAGAAAGAGGAGCCCCCUGCCACCACGGCCCUUAACGAAGGAGCAGGAGGGAGAGGAGAAGAUGAGGAGUUGAGAGGGGGAGGAGGGGCCAGGUAUGUGCCACCUUGUCACCGGAGAAGCAUGAGGCUUGCGCCCACCGCCACACCGCCGGAGGAGGGGGGCUGCGAUCUACUGGAUCAGAUGCUAGAAAGUGGUUGGAGGCAUGGGAGUCGCGUGAGAAGUGCACACAAGAGAGGAACAUGGUCGAUUAACACGGAACCAUGCUCUCGGUACAUGCACUCUGCAGGUAGAGGCCAAAAACGUGGGCAGAGAAGAAACAACGACCAUUGGACAUCUCAAGAGGUCAAAGAACUAGUGGAUGGCAUAGCUGUAUAUGGGGUUGGUCACUGGAGUAAGUUGAAGAAUGAAAGGUUUCCAACAUCUGUUCGAGCGGCAGAGCAUCUUAAGGAUAAAUGGAGAAAUUUGUUGAAAGCCUACACGGGAAAUGCAAAAAGAAGGAUCUCGCCUCCUCUGGGUAGGGAUUGCGUUAAAAAGAUCCAGAGGUUAGCAGCUGAUUACCCUAGAAAAUGA